UACAGGGGGGGCAAGCGUUGUUCGGAAUUACUGGGCGUAAAGGGCUCGUAGGCGGCCAACUAAGUCCGACGUGAAAUCCCAAAGCUUAACUUUGGAACUGCGUCGGAUACUGGAUGGCUUGAAUCCGGGAGAGGGAUGCAGAAUUCCAGGUGUAGCGGUGAAAUGCGCAGAUAUCAGGAAGAACACCCGUGGCGAAGGCGGUUCUCUGGGACGGUACUGACGCUGAGACGCGAAAGCGUGGGGAGCGAACAGG
rnacentral:rRNA from 1 species